AACGAACGCUGGCGGCAUGCCUAACACAUGCAAGUCGAACGAUACCUUCGGGUCUAGUUGCGCACGGGUGCGUAACGCGUGGGAACCUGCCCUUAGGUUCGGAAUAACUCCCCGAAAGGGGUGCUAAUACCGGAUAAUGUCUUCGGACCAAAGAUUUAUCGCCUUUGGAUGGGCCCGCGUUGGAUUAGCUAGUUGGUAGGGUAAAAGCCUACCAAGGCGACGAUCCAUAGCUGGUCUGAGAGGAUGAGCAGCCACACUGGGACUGAGACACGGCCCAGACUCCUACGGGAGGCAGCAGUGGGGAAUAUUGGACAAUGGGCGAAAGCCUGAUCCAGCAAUGCCGCGUGAGUGAUGAAGGCAUUAGGGUUGUAAAGCUCGUUUACCCGGGAUGAUAAUGACAGUACCGGGAGAAUAAGCGCAGGCUAACUCAGUG
rnacentral:rRNA from 1 species